GACGAACGCUGGCGGCGUGCUUAACACAUGCAAGUCGAACGGAAAGGCCCUGCUUUUGUGGGGUGCUCGAGUGGCGAACGGGGGAGUAACACGUGAGUAACCUGCCCUUGACUUUGGGAUAACUUCAGGAAACUGGGGCUAAUACCGGAUAGGAGCUCCUGCUGCAUGGUGGGGGUUGGAAAGUUUCGGCGGUUGGGGAUGGACUCGCGGCUUAUCAGCUUGUUGGUGGGGUAGUGGCUUACCAAGGCUUUGACGGGUAGCCGGCCUGAGAGGGUGACCGGCCACAUUGGGACUGAGAUACGGCCCAGACUCCUACGGGAGGCAGCAGUGGGGAAUAUUGCACAAUGGGCGGAAGCCUGAUGCAGCAACGCCGCGUGCGGGAUGACGGCCUUCGGGUUGUAAACCGCUUUCGCCUGUGACGAAGAGUGAGUGACGGUAAUGGGUAAAGAAGCACCGGCUAACUACGUG
rnacentral:rRNA from 1 species